rnacentral:rRNA from 1 species
GUUGUAUGGUUAAGUGAYUAAGCGUAGACGGUGGAUGCCUUGGCAGUCAGAGGCGAUGAAGGACGUAUUAACUUGCGAUAAGCCCAGAUAAGGCAGUAAAAGCCAUUUGARUCUGGGAUUUCCGAAUGGGGAAACCCACCUGCAUAAGCAGGUAUCUUAGCGUGAAUACAUAGCGCUAAGAGGCGAACUCGGGGAACUGAAACAUCUAAGUACCCGAAGGAAAAGAAAUCAAUUGAGAUUCCGGCAGUAGCGGCGAGCGARCCCGGAGCAGCCCUUAAGCGGCUUAGGCGUUAGGUGAACAGGUUGGAAAACCUGGCAAUAAAGGGUGAUAGCCCCGUAACCGACAGCGCCUUAGYCGUGAAAACGAGUAGGACGGGACACGUGAUAUCUUGUCUGAACAUGGGGGGACCAUCCUCCAAGGCUAAAUACUCCUGACUGACCGAUAGUGAACCAGUACCGUGAGGGAAAGGCGAAAAGAACCCCUGUGAGGGGAGUGAAAUAGAACCUGAAACCGUCUACGUACAAGCAGUGGGAGCCUCUUCGUGGGGUGACCGAAACUCGGAGAUAGCUGGUUCUCCCCGAAAGCUAUUUAGGUAGCGCCUCGGACGAAUACUACUGGGGGUAGAGCACUGUUAAGGCUAGGGGGUCAUCCCGACUUACCAACCCUUUGCAAACUCCGAAUACCAGUAAGUACUAUCCGGGAGACACACGGCGGGUGCUAACGUCCGUCGUGGAGAGGGAAACAACCCAGACCGCCAGCUAAGGUCCCAAAGUUAUCGCUAAGUGGGAAACGAUGUGGGAAGGCUCAGACAGCCAGGAUGUUGGCUUAGAAGCAGCCAUCAUUUAAAGAAAGCGUAAUAGCUCACUGGUCGAGUCGGCCUGCGCGGAAGAUGUAACGGGGCUAAGCGAUACACCGAAGCUGCGGCAAUGUCCUYAUGGAUAUUGGGUAGGGGAGCGUUGUGUAAGCYGUUGAAGGUGUGCUGAGAGGCAUGCUGGAGGUAUCACAAGUGCGAAUGCUGACAUGAGUAACGAUAAAGGGGGUGAAAAACCUCCUCGCCGGAAGACCAAGGGUUCCUGUCCAACGUUAAUCGGGGCAGGGUAAGUCGGCCCCUAAGGCGAGGCCGAAAGGCGUAGUCGAUGGGAAACGGGUUAAUAUUCCCGUACUGCUGCUUACUGCGAUGGGGGGACGGAGAAGGCUAGGUGGGCCUGGCGAUGGUYGUCCAGGUUCAAGUGCGUAGGCUGAUUUCUUAGGCAAAUCCGGGAAAUCAAGGCCGAGACACGAUGUCGAGCCACCAAGGUGGUGAAGUCAUUGAUGCCAUGCUUCCGGGAAAAGCCUCUAAGCUUCAGGUAAGUAGCAACCGUACUCCAAACCGACACAGGUGGUCGGGUAGAGAAUACCAAGGCGCUUGAGAGAACUCGGGUGAAGGAACUAGGCAAAAUGGUACCGUAACUUCGGGAGAAGGUACGCUGCCCACGGUGAAGUCCCUUGCGGAUGGAGCUAUGGGCAGUCGCAGAUACCAGGUGGCUGCAACUGUUUAUUAAAAACACAGCACUGUGCAAAAUCGAAAGAUGACGUAUACGGUGUGACGCCUGCCCGGUGCCGGAAGGUUAAUUGAUGUGGUUAUCGCAAGAGAAGCCAUUGAUCGAAGCCCCGGUAAACGGCGGCCGUAACUAUAACGGUCCUAAGGUAGCGAAAUUCCUUGUCGGGUAAGUUCCGACCUGCACGAAUGGCGUAAUGAUGGCCACGCUGUCUCCACCCGAGACUCAGUGAAAUUGAAAUCGCAGUGAAGAUGCUGUGUACCCGCGGCUAGACGGAAAGACCCCGUGAACCUUUACUACAGCUUGGCACUGAACAUUGAGCCUACAUGUGUAGGAUAGGUGGGAGGCUUUGAAGCGGCGACGCCAGUUGUCGUGGAGCCAUCCUUGAAAUACCACCCUUGUAUGUUUGAUGUUCUAACUUAGCCCCRUUAUCYGGGGUGAGGACAGUGCCUGGUGGGUAGUUUGACUGGGGCGGUCUCCUCCCAAAGAGUAACGGAGGAGCACGAAGGUGGGCUAAUCACGGUCGGACAUCGUGAGGUUAGUGCAAUGGCAUAAGCCCGCUUAACUGCGAGAGUGACGGCUCGAGCAGGUACGAAAGUAGGUCAUAGUGAUCCGGUGGUUCUGAAUGGAAGGGCCAUCGCUCAACGGAUAAAAGGUACUCCGGGGAUAACAGGCUGAUACCGCCCAAGAGUUCAUAUCGACGGCGGUGUUUGGCACCUCGAUGUCGGCUCAUCACAUCCUGGGGCUGAAGUCGGUCCCAAGGGUAUGGCUGUUCGCCAUUUAAAGUGGUACGCGAGCUGGGUUUAGAACGUCGUGAGACAGUUCGGUCCCUAUCUGCCGUGGGCGUUGGAUGAUUGAGGGGAGCUGCUCCUAGUACGAGAGGACCGGAGUGGACGAACCGCUGGUGUUCGGGUUGUGUCGCCAGACGCAUUGCCCGGUAGCUAAGUUCGGCACAGAUAAGCGCUGAAAGCAUCUAAGCGCGAAGCUGGCCCCGAGAUGAGUCAUCCCUAGAGCUUCGAGCUCUCUAAAGGGUUGUCGUAGACUACGACGUUGAUAGGCAGGGUGUGUAAGCGCUGUGAGGCGUUGAGCUAACCUGUACUAAUUGCCCGUGAGGCUUAACCAUACAACACCCAAG